rnacentral:tRNA from 1 species
GGAGAGGUCGUAUAGUGGCCUAGUACGGCGGUUUGCUAAACCGUUGUACGGAUGAAAGUCCGUACCCAGGGUUCGAAUCCCUGCCUCUCCGCCA